CGAGGGGCAGCGGGGGUAGCAAUACCCGCCGGCGACCGGCAAACGGGUGCGGAACACGUACGCAACCUUCCUUUAACUGGAGAAUAGCCCCGAGAAAUCGGGAUUAAUACUCCGUAACAUAAUGAUGAGGCAUCUCUUUAUUAUUAUAGGCUUCGGCCGGUUGAAGAUGGGCGUGCGCCUGAUUAGAUAGUUGGCGGGGUAACGGCCCACCAAGUCUGCGAUCAGUAACUGGUGUGAGAGCACGACCAGUCACACGGGCACUGAGACACGGGCCCGACUCCUACGGGAGGCAGCAGUAAGGAAUAUUGGUCAAUGGACGAAAGUCUGAACCAGCCAUGCCGCGUGGAGGAUUAAGGCCCUCUGGGUUGUAAACUCCUUUUAUCUGGGAAGAACUCCACGUUUUCUAAUGUGGUUGACGGUACCAGAGGAAUAAGCACCGGCUAACUCCGUGCCAGCAGCCGCGGUAAUACGGAGGGUGCAAGCGUUAUCCGGAUUCACUGGGUUUAAAGGGUGCGUAGGCGGGCAGGUAAGUCCGUGGUGAAAUCUCUGAGCUUAACUCAGAAACUGCCAUGGAUACUAUUUGUCUUGAAUAUUGUGGAGGUAAGCGGAAUAUGUCAUGUAGCGGUGAAAUGCUUAGAUAUGACAUAGAACACCAAUUGCGAAGGCAGCUUGCUACACAGUUAUUGACGCUGAGGCACGAAAGCGUGGGGAUCAAACAGGAUUAGAUACCCUGGUAGUCCACGCCCUAAACGAUGAUUACUCGACAUCAGCGAUACACUGUUGGUGUCUGAGCGAAAGCAUUAAGUAA
rnacentral:rRNA from 1 species